GACGAACGCUGGCGGCGUGCUUAACACAUGCAAGUCGAACGGAAAGGCCCUGCUUUUGUGGGGUGCUCGAGUGGCGAACGGGUGAGUAACCCGUGAGUAACCUGCCCUUGACUUUGGGAUAACUUCAGGAAACUGGGGCUAAUACCGGCUAGGAGCUCCUGAUGCAUGGUGGGGGUCGGAAAGUUUCGGAGGUUGGGGAUGGAUUCGCGGGUAAUCAGCUUGUGGGUUGGGUAGUGGCUUACCAAGGGUUCGACGGGUGGCCGGCGUGGGAGGGUAGCCGGCGACAUGGGUACUGAGAGAGGGACCAGACGCCAAUGGGAGGCAGCGGUCGGGAAUAUUGCACAAUGGGGCGGAGUCUGAUGCGGCAACGCUGCGUGCGGGAAGACGGCCUUCGUGUGGUAAACCGCUUUCGGCUGAGACGAAGCGUGAGUGACGGUAAUGGGUAAAGAAGCACCGGCUAACUACGUG
rnacentral:rRNA from 1 species